rnacentral:rRNA from 1 species
GGAAACUGAAACAUCUAAGUACCCCGAGGAAAAGAAAUCAACCGAGAUUCCCCCAGUAGCGGCGAGCGAACGGGGAGGAGCCCAGAGCCUGAAUCAGCAUGUGUGUUAGUGGAAGCGUCUGGAAAGGCGCGCGAUACAGGGUGACAGCCCCGUACACAAAAGCGCAUGUGCUGUGAGCUCGAUGAGUAGGGCGGGACACGUGGUAUCCUGUCUGAAUAUGGGGGGACCAUCCUCCAAGGCUAAAUACUCCUGACU